AUUGAACGCUGGCGACAUGCCUUACACAUGCAAGUCGAACGGUAACGCGGGGGAACCUGGCGACGAGUGGCGAACGGGUGAGUAAUGCAUCGGAACGUGCCCAGAAGUGGGGGAUAGCCCGGCGAAAGCCGGAUUAAUACCGCAUGAGACCUGAGGGUGAAAGCGGGGGAUCGCAAGACCUCGCGCUUUUGGAGCGGCCGAUGUCAGAUUAGGUAGUUGGUGGGGUAAAGGCCUACCAAGGCGACGAUCUGUAGCUGGUCUGAGAGGACGACCAGCCACACUGGUACUGAGACAGUGCCCAGACUCCUACGGGAUGCACCAGUGUAGCAUUUUGAACAAUGGCCACAAGCCUCAUCCACCCAUGCCCCGUGCGGGAAGAAGGCCUUCUGGUUGUAAACCGCUUUUGUCAGGGAAUAAACGCUCUGGGCUAAUACCCUGAGGUAAUAACGGUACCUGAACAAUAAGCACCGGCUAACUACGUG
rnacentral:rRNA from 1 species